rnacentral:rRNA from 1 species
GACGAACGCUGGCGGCGUGCUUAGCACAUGCAAGUCGAACGGAAAGGCCCUGCUUUUGUGGGGUGCUCGAGUGGCGAACGGGUGAGUAACACGUGAGUAACCUGCCCUUGACUUUGGGAUAACUUCAGGAAACUGGGGCUAAUACAGGAUAGGAGCUCCUGCUGCAUGGUGGGGGUUGGAAAGUUUCGGCGGUUGGGGAUGGACUCGCGGCUUAUCAGCUUGUUGGUGGGGUAGUGGCUUACCAAGGCUUUGACGGGUAGCCGGCCUGAGAGGGUGACCGGCCACAUUGGGACUGAGAUACGGCCCAGACUCCUACGGGAGGCAGCAGUGGGGAAUAUUGCACAAUGGGCGGAAGCCUGAUGCAGCAACGCCGCGUGCGGGAUGACGGCCUUCGGGUUGUAAACCGCUUUCGCCUGUGACGAAGCGUGAGUGACGGUAAUGGGUAAAGAAGCACCGGCUAACUACGUG